UUAGAAUUCAUCAGGGUGACUUUCCAGAGUGGCCCUAAGUAUCAGAACAUGUGGUAUUCAUGUUUGCUGGACAGAUUUGACUUCAUUGUUCCAGAAACAAGGGGGAUGCCUGGGAGUGAUCAUCUUAGAACAUGUGAAAUAUUAGUCACGUACCCAUCCUUGGCCCAAGAUUUGGACCUAACAGCCAGCAUGCCAGAAACUGGCUGGGAAAACAAUCCCGAAUCUGCUUCCAAACAAGCUAACUGGUGCCUACAGGGACGAAAUCCAGAUUAUAGGCCCCAACCAAACCCAGCCAACAGUCAGAUGGAGGUCUGUAAACUUUCCACACACUUAGUGGGCCUCUGAGAGAGGCCUUGGAGAAAAUAUUCUUCCUUUAUCUAUCAGCAUGCUCAUGCUUUGCAAGGGAAAUGUCAGCUCCAAGGGCUCUUGACGAGUGAAACAAAACACUGCUUUGUAGCUCGGAUGCUACUUAGAAGCCUGGCCUGUGUAUAUUGCAAGUAAUCAAUGAACUCUGAUUUUGAGUGUCAUGUUUUGCAAACAUUUCCUGAGAUAUGGAGUACUGCAGUCUCCUUUUCUGACCAUGAACACCUACUGUGAACACCUACAAAGGGCAUUACAGAAAGCAGCGCCGACAACCUGAUGCAAGUCACCCUUGGGAGACGCUUACUGAGAAAGUGAAUGACUUGAAAGGGCUGAGGGCCGGGAGAAAGGGGGCCUCUCUCCACAUGAGAUGCAAGCCCGCAGCAGGAGAGGGGAAGCCGCUGCUGAGAGCGCUUCCCAUGAGUGAGCACGACACUGCCAGGCCUUAAGGGAUGUGCCAUUUCCUUUCUCUUUGGAGUGAUGAAGAUGGCAGGUGAAAUUUUCAGGAGCGUGGCCCACAGAGCCUUCCUGAGGUUCUGAACUACAUAGAGGUGCUAGUGCACUGAGAGUUAAAGCCCCAAGUCCUCCCCACAGAGCUUAAUACCACCCAAAUGUUCCUUGUUACAGCUUUUAAUUCCUGAAACACCGACACAUGGAUGAGACUUGUUAUCAUCCUCUUUCGUUUUUUUAGCAACCCAAUGAACCUCCCUCAUGGCUUUCAUAACUUGCUUUUAAACCCCUUGAAAAUACCGCUGCAGUGUGGCUUUCUCUGCUCCAUUGCCCCAUGGGAAGGAACAUCCUCAAAUUACCCUCUUUCUCUUUCUCUGCAUCAACACAUAGAAAGUGCUGGCUCAUCAUUCAUCUCCCACACUCCUUUCCUAUUUCUUUACGCCCUGACUUCAAGUGCUCAAACAUUUUAGCCAAAUCUCUAAUUAAGAGAAAAGAGAAGCCCCUGGAGAGAGGAGGAGCUGCAUACCAAGGCCUGGGGCUCUAGCUGCAUGAUAGCUGGUCGCAGCUUUGUAACGGACAGUUUAGUCUUUCACCGGUUCUCAUUAACACUGUCUAAGAGAUCCGCAGGUUUGCCCAGUGACAGGUCUGUAUGGAAUGCGGCACCCAGGAUGCCUCUGUCCCUUGGUGACUGAAGAAGCAUUUGAUUCGUUGGGCUGCCCAAUGAUUUAUUGGGAGUGACCAAAUUGUGCUUUCAAAAAGACGAAGUGUGGAAAUAAAGACAGGAAUCAAGGUUUGCUCCGUGCCUACUGCGGGUCAGCAUCGUAAGAAGCACUACAUUGGGAUGUGGUGGGGAUCAAAUGAGAAAACAGACCUACAGCAC
rnacentral:lncRNA from 1 species